rnacentral:rRNA from 1 species
CCUACGGGUGGCAGCAGUGGGGAAUAUUGCACAAUGGGCGCAAGCCUGAUGCAGCCAUGCCGCGUGUGUGAAGAAGGCCUUCGGGUUGUAAAGCACUUUCAGCGGGGAGGAAGGCGGUGAGGUUAAUAACCUCAUCGAUUGACGUUACCCGCAGAAGAAGCACCGGCUAACUCCGUGCCAGCAGCCGCGGUAAUACGGAGGGUGCAAGCGUUAAUCGGAAUUACUGGGCGUAAAGCGCACGCAGGCGGUCUGUCAAGUCGGAUGUGAAAUCCCCGGGCUCAACCUGGGAACUGCAUUCGAAACUGGCAGGCUAGAGUCUUGUAGAGGGGGGUAGAACGCCAGGUGUAGCGGUGAAAUGCGUAGAGAUCUGGAGGAAUACCGGUGGCGAAGGCGGCCCCCUGGACAAAGACUGACGCUCAGGUGCAAAAGCGUGGGGAGCAAACAGGAUUAGAUACCCUAGUAGUC